CGCCCGCAGUGCGGUGCCUGCUUCCCUGAGCUGAAGCUUUGCUCCCCGCCGGAGGAGCACAGCGGUGGGGUGCGGAGGGCAGAAGUCUCAGACAGGCUACACCAUCCUUUCUUGUGGCAAGAUAAGGUCUCUUUCUAACAGAAAAUACUGAUUAGAACACGCUGAAGCACAUGUAGGUGUCGCAGGAUAAAAAAGAACUCAGGAAGGAAACAGCAGCGUCUCUGCAGACGAGGCAUUUCUGGGGAAAUAAAGGAGGCCAGAAAGCAAGCUGUUGCAGGAAGUCAGUAAUCUGGCCUCCCAUCUUGGCUGGCUGCUGAACUGGUGCUCCUUCUCCCCACCAUGCUGGAAUAGGCUGUGGCUUCCCGUUUCCUUCAGCCCACCUCAGUGUUUCUCAUGCCGUCUGCUUGUUAAAAGGAGAACAGUUCAGGAGGAGAUUCCAAUUCUGUGAUGAUUUUGCUUCUGCAAAAAUUGUUAGCAUUACUAGUUUGCUUUUACAACCUCACAGGACUGCAGGAAUACAAGAACACAUUCUAACUGCAUCACAGCCGGAACACCACAGACAGAAGUUUAAAGAUUUGGAAAAGGUUAUCAUGAACAAGAAACUAAAAAAUAAAUUCCUCUGGCAUUGUGCUGAUAAUCUUAAACAGGAAAUGUUUGUUUUUCCUGUCCAGCUUGGAUGACUGCAUUCUGUCAAGCCUGCCUUUUGGUAUUCUCCCCUUCCAACAGUUUUACAGGGCUCACUUCAGAAGCAUAAUGAAGUGUCAUGUCUUGCUAAUAAUAAUAAAUAGGAAUAUGGAAAUUAAAAACUAAAUAAAUUUAGCUAGGGUACAGUUUGAAGAGUAGUGCUGCUAUCAGCAACCACUAGUCCAAUCCAUCAAGCUGUUCUUCUGCAUGUAAGGUUACUUGUUGACAUAAUAUAAAAUGUAAUAUAUCUUUUUAGUUUUGGUACAAAUGAGAAAACAAAUUGUGCUUCUGGAAACCCACAGAGUUAAUGGAAACCAGAAUUAAUCAGGUUCUUUGUGCAUGAUGGAAAUGAAGCUGCUACGGAUUUUCCUAUGGAGGUAUAUGUAUGCACUGAAAGUUUACACUGGCGUUUACUGUAUGAACUGGCGUACAAUGAAUGAUUUACAGUAGAUUUUUAAUACUUUUUAAAUUACAGCCAAAACAUGAUUAUUAGCCUUAACUGUGAAAAAGGCUGUACGAGUCCUGACGAACCUUCCUGUUAUCUUUGUUUACCUGUUUGUUUAUAAACUAAAAAUAGUAGGAAAAGAAUAAACACUUUCAGAUAUGCAACCAUAGGAAAUGAUCAAAGGGGAAAAGAACAAAGAAGAUAGGGUAGAAGAACAGUGAACUCAUCCUAACAAGUAGAUCUGGACACAUAGCCAAAACCCAUAAAGGAACAGAUGGAAAAAGCAACACAGACAGAAGCAAAGCAGAGUUAUGACUUAAAUGCAAACCCCUUGUGAAAGAAAUUAUAUCUUGGGCCUUUACAAAAUAAUUCUAAUUUCAGUUACACAUCUUUUCCUCUCUUACCCUGUUUCUGAUGAUCAUAAAGCAGCACAUGUAGUAUCCACCCUUUCACAGCUAUCAUGUAAAGAAAUAACAAAAAUAGAAGCUUGGGGGCAAAUGUAUAUCAAGAAAGUAGUACGAAACAAACAGUAUCAUGGAGUUACCAGUUAGCUUUUGCAAUUCCAUUAUAAAUUCUUCUCCUAAGAAGUUAUAAGAAAGAUUUGACAACUCAGUUUAGUAUGUAAGAGAUAGCGUAUGUCUUAUCUUUACUGAUUUCAAGUAAACACCAAAAAUAAACAAGAGCAGCAUGACAAACCAGAAUGUUUCAAGAGGUAUGGCUUAUCUGGGUAGAAGCCUGCCAAUUAAGGGAUGAAGAGGUCUUCUCCUGGUUCUGCUUGUUGCUGCAGGUAUCAUGCGAAAACCAGUACUGUAAACAAUCUUAUCAAGUAUAAACCUGCAUUUAUCGGCUGUUACAAGGUAGGUGAAUCCCCCUAUUGUUGCAGGGAAAGACGCUUACCUUUUUAGGCAAGAUGAUCACUGAAGAAAAUAUUAAAAAGAAACGUAUACCAGAUAUAGUACUUCAAGGUAUGUUGAAAGCAAUUUAGAAUUGCUUUCAUAUCCAGCUUUAAUGUAUUCUGGAAUUCUGAGUUAUUUUGCAUUACCUGAGGCAGUUCCCAAAUCCAUAGGGUGGUUGCUGAAGAGCAGUACCGCAGCAAAAACGGUAUGCCAGACUGUUACAGACACCUUGCACAACAUGGAGUCGUACUUCAAACUGUUCCCCUACAUUCAAAAACCUAGGGAGACCUUGGGAAAAGCUGUCAAAAUAGGCAUAUGGGCUGGGUAGCAUCCUACUAUUUAUAGUAGUGUAGACACUAUCAUUUCCCCCUUGCGACUACUGUAAUAUAGCAGCUAAUGGAGUGACACUGCAUGCCAGAAUCUAACUUCUUUCCACCUUCAAUUUCAGCAGAACCAGAGAACACCUUUGGACACUGGGAAGUUCAGCUUUCCAGCAACUGCAGUAUCUGAUACCCACAAGUGAAAUUCAAAAUAUUCGACUAUCACGGUUAACCUCUAUUGAGUCUACAAGACUGGCUUAGGAUUUGAAAAUUAACUAUGGUAAUUUUCACAUCAAGAAAAUCACUAAAAGCUGACAUUUGAGAUGUCAGUCUGUUUUUAUAUGAUGUUUGCAUCAGGAUUAGAGGCUGCUUGAAGGAAUUCUGGAUUUUGACUUAUUUGUUCCAUGAUAAACAUCUUUAAUACAAAAUUGCACUUUUGUUUAUUUUUCAUCCACCGUAUGAGACUAGAGCAACUAGUAGCUUCACUUUGCAAUUUCCUGGCUUCUGAAGAUACAGUUUCUGCUUUUCAGGUUUAUGUUAUUAAUAUAAUGUUUUUUACAGUUGAAAUAAAUGCAAACAAAAGUU